rnacentral:rRNA from 1 species
GACGAACGCUGGCGGCGUGCUUAACACAUGCAAGUCGAACGAUGAAGCCGGAGCUUGCUCUGGUGAAUUAGUGGCGAACGGGUGAGUAACACGUGAGUAACCUGCCCUUGACUCUGGGAUAACUGCUAGAAAUGGUAGCUAAUACCGGGUACGACCCUCGGAGGCAUCUCCAGGGGGUGGAAAGAAUUUCGGUCAAGGAUGGACUCGCGGCCUAUCAGCUAGUUGGUGAGGUAAUGGCUCACCAAGGCGACGACGGGUAGCCGGCCUGAGAGGGUGACCGGCCACACUGGGACUGAGACACGGCCCAGACUCCUACGGGAGGCAGCAGUGGGGAAUAUUGCACAAUGGGCGCAAGCCUGAUGCAGCAACGCCGCGUGAGGGAUGACGGCCUUCGGGUUGUAAACCUCUUUUAGUAGGGAAGAAGCGAAAGUGACGGUACCUGCAGAAAAAGCACCGGCUAACUACGUGCCAGCAGCCGCGGUAA